rnacentral:rRNA from 1 species
UACGAAGGGUGCAACGUUGCUCGGAAUUAUUGGGCGUAAAGCGCACGUAGGCGGCUUAGCAAGUCGGAAGUGAAAUCCCUCGGCUCAACCAAGGAAGUGCUUUCGAAACUGCUGAGCUUGAGUACUUAAGAGGAUCGCGGAAUUCCCGGUGUAGAGGUGAAAAUUCGUAGAUAUCGGGAGGAACACCAGUGGCGAAGGCGGACGAUCUGGAGAGUACUGACGCUGAGGUGCGAAAGCGUGG